rnacentral:rRNA from 1 species
CUACCGCUUAAGGAUGGGCUCGCGCCCCAUUAGCUAGUUGGUGAGGUAAUGGCUCACCAAGGCUGCGAUGGGUAGCCGACCUGAGAGGGUGAUCGGCCACACUGGGACUGAGACACGGCCCAGACUCCUACGGGAGGCAGCAGUGAGGAAUUUUCUGCAAUGGACGAAAGUCUGACAGAGCGACGCCGCGUGCGCGAUGAAGGUCUUCGGAUCGUAAAGCGCUGUCGGAGGGGAAGAAAGACCCUGGUGCUAAUACCAUCAGGGAGUGACGGUACCCUCCAAGGAAGCCCCGGCUAACUCCGUGCCAGCAGCCGCGGUAAUACGGGGGGGGCAAGCGUUGCUCGGAAUCAUUGGGCGUAAAGGGCGCGUAGGCGGCCUGCUAAGUUGAUUGUGAAAUCCCACGGCUCAACCGUGGAACUGCGACCAAUACUGGCGGGCUUGAGUGUGGGAGAGGAAAGCGGAAUUCCCAGUGUAGCGGUGAAAUGCGUAGAUAUUGGGAGGAACACCAGUGGCGAAGGCGGCUUUCUGGACCACAACUGACGCUGAGGCGCGAAAGCUAGGGGAGCAAACAGGAUUAGAUACCCUGGUAGUCCUAGCUGUAAACGAUGGGCACUUGGUGUGUCGGGUGUCGAUCCCCGACGUGCCGAAGCUAACGCAUUAAGUGCCCCGCCUGGGGAGUACGGUCGCAAGGCUGAAACUCAAGGAUUUGACGGGGGCCCGCACAAGCGGUGGAGCAUGUGGUUUAAUUCGAUGCAACGCGAAAACCUUACCUGGUUUUGAAAUAUUGGAGGACUGUCCUGUAGACA